rnacentral:misc_RNA from 1 species
GCAGCCAAAGUGGCACUAAUAGCCUCAGCCUCUGCAGCUGAUGCUUCAACCAAAUACUCCACACCUCUGCUCGUUCUCCUAGGUCCAGGGAGCAUGGCAUUUUCAGUGCUUAUAUCAGUGUACAUAUCACCAUUUAUAGGAGGAGCAACUGGAUUACCCAGUACAACCCCACCAUCAGGUACUGCUUCAGGCAUUGCUUGCCUAGUUUUUUCAUCGACAAAUCCAUAUCUUCCAG